AAUUUUGUUUUCCUCUUGCUACGGCUACUGAGAUCUGCAAACAAUCGAUGAAGUCAAUCUAAUUGAUUGAUGUGGACAUAUAAGGGCCAGACCUUUGGAUUGUUAUAUAAGGCAUUCGCCAGGUAGCCAUAAGAAUAACCUGCAGGAAAAUUACAAUGGAUUUACCUUUAACCACAAAGGCAAUGGCAAAAAACACAGCCAACGAUCCGAAAAAGAAAAAGAGUCCCACCAUU